GAUUCUUCUCUACAGGUUAGGGCAAUACCCAUACUUCCACCCUGGGUCAUUUGAUUUGGCCUUCUUUGGGUCUUU